GAUGAACGCUGGCGGCGUGCCUAAUACAUGCAAGUCGAGCGAACGGACGAGAAGCUUGCUUCUCUGAUGUUAGCGGCGGACGGGUGAGUAACACGUGGAUAACCUACCUAUAAGACUGGGAUAACUUCGGGAAACCGGAGCUAAUACCGGAUAAUAUUUUGAACCGCAUGGUUCAAAAGUGAAAGACGGUCUUGCUGCCACCUAUCGACGGCUCCGCGCCGCAUCAGCUAGUUGGUAAGGUAACGGCUUACCAAGGCAACGAUGCAUAGCCGACCUGAGAGGGUGAUCGGCCACACUGGAACUGAGACACGGUCCAGACUCCUACGGGAGGCAGCAGUAGGGAAUCUUCCGCAAUGGGCGAAAGCCUGACGGAGCAACGCCGCGUGAGUGAUGAAGGUCUUCGGAUCGUAAAACUCUGUUAUUAGGGAAGAACAUAUGUGUAAGUAACUGUGCACAUCUUGACGGUACCUAAUCAGAAAGCCACGGCUAACUACGUG
rnacentral:rRNA from 1 species